rnacentral:rRNA from 1 species
UACAGAGGUGGCAAGCGUUGUUCGGAAUUACUGGGCGUAAAGGGCGCGUAGGCGGCCUUCUAAGUCAGACGUGAAAUCCCCAGGCUUAACUUGGGAACUGCGUCUGAUACUGGGAGGCUUGAGUGCGGGAGAGGGAUGUGGAAUUCCAGGCGUAGCGGUGAAAUGCGUAGAUAUCUGGAGGAACACCGGUGGCGAAGGCGGCAUCCUGGACCGACACUGACGCUGAGGCGCGAAAGCUAGGGGAGCAAACGGG